AUUAAUUCGAUGCAACGCGAAGAACCUUACCUGGGCUUGACAUGUAUGGAUUAGCUCUUGGAAACAUGAGUGACGCCCUUUGGGUGGAACAUACACAGGUGCUGCAUGGCUGUCGUCAGCUCGUGCUGUGAAGUGUCGGGUUAAGUCCCUUAACGAGCGCAACCCUUAUCGCUAGUUGCCAGCGCGUCAUGGCGGGGACUCUAGCGAGACUGCCGGUGUCAAACCGGAGGAAGGUGGGGAUGACGUCAGGUCAUCAUGGCCCUUACGGCCAGGGCUACACACGUGCUACAAUGGUUAAGACAAAGAGCCGC
rnacentral:rRNA from 1 species